CAGGAUUUCUCAGUGGUGACAAAUCGAGGGAGAUGCGACUGGGCCAUGCCAAUUACAGUAAUUCAUCUACCAUUAUUUACUGAGUGCCUACUUCCCUGGUGGCUCAGACAGUAAAGCAUCUACCUACAAUGCGGGAGACCCAGGUUCAAUCCCUGGGUCAGGAAGAUCCCCUGGAGAAGGAAAUGGCAACCCACCUCAGUACUCUUGCCUGGAAAAUCCCAUGGAUGGAGGAACCUGGUUGGCUGCAGUUCAUGGGGUUGCAAAGAGUUGGACACGACUGAGUGACUUCACUCACUCACUCACUCUGCUAGGUAUCAGCAACUAUUCCAAAUAUUGGGGUACAGUCAAUUUUGCUCUUGUUCACAUUCUUCCCUCCCCACCCCCUUAUCUCUUCUCCAUGUUUGUUUCUCUUUUCCUCUCCCAUUGCAGACUUUCUUAUUGCAGUAGAAAAAUGGCUGGCUGUGAUCCCUGAUACAAAUCCUCCCAUCUUCAUUCCUUAAAAAAAAAGCAAGAACCUUACCCUGCUAGUUAACCCUUUUUGGAGGGAGGGAGUUUGAUUGGGCCACUAGAGGGCCAUUCACUGAACCAGAGGGAAGAGACACUAUAAAUGGCUGGUCUGGAUCCCAUAGUGGAGGGCAGGGGGCAAGACUGAUUCAAAGAUUGGCAGCUCUUUUAGCAUAAUCUGAUUGGAGUGGAGAGUGGUGACUUUUCUGAAGAAGGUGGACGAACAAAAACAGCUGGUGUCCCCUCCAGGAGCAAAUGAAUACAGGGCCCUUCACAUACCUGAUGCUAGAGGACGUCUUCAUCCUUUCUCAACAUGUGGAUUUCUCAGAGUAAUCAAGACUCUAUCAAGAAUUGAUCAUCAAAAGUGUCACCAGCAAUAGACAAAAUAUUUAUUUCCUUUCAUGGAACUUGGAUAAAUAAGCCAAUUCAGCAAAUAUUUAUGGAGCACCUUCUGUGUGCAUGUAAUGUCUAAAAAAAAGCAAGGAUAGAAGUGCAGGGGAGUGGAAGAAGACCCGUGACAUAUGAGCAGCUAGAAUACGAGAUGUCUUAUAUUCUAUGCGUUCAAAGAAAACAUCGCCUACAACUUACAUCUAACUU
ensembl:lncRNA